rnacentral:rRNA from 1 species
AUUGAACGCUGGCGGCAGGCCUAACACAUGCAAGUCGAGCGGAGCGGCGGACGGGUGAGUAAUGCCUAGGAAUCUGCCUGGUAGUGGGGGAUAACGUCCGGAAACGGGCGCUAAUACCGCAUACUAUCAGAUGAGCCUAGGUCGGAUUGGCUAGUUGGUGAGGUAACGGCUCACCAAGGCCACGAUGCAUAGCCGACCUGCGAGGGUGGUCGGCCACAGUGGGACUGGGAGACGGUCCAGACGCCUACGGGAGGCAGCAGGGUGGAAUAUUGCACAAUGGGCGCAAGCCUGAUGCAGCCAUGCCGCGUGGAUGAAGAAGGCCGUCGGGUUGUAAAGUACUUUCAGCGGGGAGGCGUUACCCGCAGAAGAAGCACCGGCUAACUCCGUGCCAGCAGCCGCGGUAAUUC